rnacentral:rRNA from 1 species
AUUGAACGCUGGCGGCAUGCUUUACACAUGCAAGUCGAACGGUAACAGGCCGCAAGGUGCUGACGAGUGGCGAACGGGUGAGUAAUGCAUCGGAACGUGCACAGUCGUGGGGGAUAACUACUCGAAAGAGUAGCUAAUACCGCAUACGAUCUAUGGAUGAAAGCGGGGGACCGUAAGGCCUCGCGCGAUUGGAGCGGCCGAUGUCAGAUUAGGUAGUUGGUGGGGUAAAGGCUCACCAAGCCAACGAUCUGUAGCUGGUCUGAGAGGACGACCAGCCACACUGUGACUGAGACACGGCCCAGACUCCUACGGGAGGCAGCAGUGGGGAAUUUUGGACAAUGGGCGCAAGCCUGAUCCAGCAAUGCCGCGUGCAGGAAGAAGGCCUUCGGGUUGUAAACUGCUUUUGUACGGAACGAAACGGCUCUGGUUAAUACCCGGGGCUAAUGACGGUACCGUAAGAAUAAGCACCGGCUAACUACGUG